rnacentral:ribozyme from 1 species
UGUUCAUCGGCAUCGCGAUCUUGUGCGACGAGCUCUUCGUGCCCGCACUUGAGAUCAUCGCGGACAAGUGGGAGUUGUCCAACGAUGUGGCGGGGGCCACUC